rnacentral:rRNA from 1 species
CGAUACCGUGAAGAAAAGUUGAAAAGUACUUUGAAGAGUUAACGAGUACGUGAAACCGUUCAGAGGUAAACCUAAGAAACCCAAAAAAUCGAACGGGGAGAUUCAUCGUCAACGAAACUGGCUUCGCGUCGGUGGGCGAUAACCCCGCGGUGUGUCCUAAGCGGCACGCGCGUGCGGGCACGUNNCCGAACGCCGAUGUCCGGUUUUCGUCGUCGUGCACUUCUCUCCUAGUAGAACGUCGCGACUCGCUGUGUGUCGGUCACCGACCCGGGUGCGGUUACUGUCACGUCGCCCGUAAAAA